GUGAUGUAUAACCUUGGCACCAUGGAUUGCAGGGAAUGCAGUUUGUUACGCUAUUAGCUGGGAUGUAAAAGUUCUUCAUCUUGUAUUUCUGUCUAUCUGGCCGCUGCUUUUUCUAUGGACAAGUCAAAUCCAUUAAACAAAGUGAGAAUGCCUACCUUUUUCUCCCGGAAACGAUUUCACAACCCUGGCAUAUGACACGAUGAAG